GACGAACGCUGGCGGCGUGCUUAACACAUGCAAGUCGAGCGGUAAGGCCCUUUCGGGGUACGACGAGCGGCGAACGGGUGAGUAACACGUGGGUGACCUGCCCUCAGCUCUGGGAUAAGCCUGGGAAACCGGGUCUAAUACCGGAUAUGACUCCAUGACGCAUGUUGUGGGGUGGAAAGCCUUGUGCGGCUGAGGAUGGGCCCGCGGCCUAUCAGCUUGUUGGUGGGGUGAUGGCCUACCAAGGCGACGACGGGUAGCCGGCCUGAGAGGGCGACCGGCCACACUGGGGCUGAGACACGGCCCAGACUCCUACGGGAGGCAGCAGUGGGGAAUCUUGCGCAAUGGGCGAAAGCCUGACGCAGCGACGCCGCGUGAGGGAUGACGGCC
rnacentral:rRNA from 1 species